AUUGAACGCUGGCGGCAUGCCUUACACAUGCAAGUCGAACGGUAACAGGUCUUCGGAUGCUGACGAGUGGCGAACGGGUGAGUAAUACAUCGGAACGUGCCUAGUAGUGGGGGAUAACUACUCGGAAGAGUGGCUAAUACCGCAUGAGAUCUACGGAUGAAAGCAGGGGAUCGCAAGACCUUGUGCUACUAGAGCGGCCGAUGGCAGAUUAGGUAGUUGGUGGGAUAAAAGCUUACCAAGCCGACGAUCUGUAGCUGGUCUGAGAGGACGAUCAGCCACACUGGGACUGAGAAACGGCCCAGACUCCUACGGGAGGCAGCGGUGGGGAACUUUGGACAAUGGGCGAAAGCCUGAUCCAGCAAUGCCGCGUGCAGGAUGAAGGCCUUCGGGUUGUAAACUGCUUUUGUACGGAACGAAAAGCCCCGGGUUAAUACCCUGGGGUCAUGACGGUACCGUAAGAAUAAGCACCGGCUAACUACGUGCCAGCAGCCGCCGUAA
rnacentral:rRNA from 1 species